UACAGAGGGGGCAAGCGUUAUUCGGAAUUAUUGGGCGUAAAAGGCGCGUAGGCGGCUAGAUGUGUCAAAGGUGAAAUCCCUCGGCUCAACUGAGGAACUGCCUUUGAAACUGUCUGGCUUGAGGCCGGGAGAGGGUAGCGGAAUUCCCAGUGUAGCGGUGAAAUGCGUAGAUAUUGGGAGGAACACCAGUGGCGAAGGCGGCUACCUGGACCGGUUCUGACGCUGAGGCGCGAAAGCGUGGGUAGCAAACAGG
rnacentral:rRNA from 1 species